rnacentral:tRNA from 2 species
UGUCCCCAUCGUCUAGAGGCCUAGGACAUCGCCCUUUCACGGCGGUAACCGGGGUUCGAAUCCCCGUGGGACGCC